GAUAAGAGUCAUUUGCUGGCAAGGACCAUCUCAUGGAGUUCUAAGAAUGCAAUCAAAGAGGCAGAAAUCAGAGCCGGGAGAGACACCAAGCUCCAAUGACCAUGCCAUCCCAGAGAUGAUAACACAAUAAAGUAUCUUUGCAAGAACCGUGUUAGCACCUGUGCAAUGACUGGGAGGAACCCGAUGACACUGCCCUCAAGAAAAGAUCCUCAAAGCUUCAUGGAAGAUACUGCAAGGGAGCAGACUGGUAAAGAGGGAAAGCCCAGGAACUCACAAGAGGAAAGGAAAUGGAGAUGGCAGCAGCAGGGAGAGGCACAUUAGCCCCAAAAAGAUCCAUCUGGGAGAAUCAACUUCUCUGAAUUUGAAGAGUCUUCUGUGAUUUGCCAGAACUGUUGUGAUGAAGAUUUUUCUUGGACUACUAGGCAGCCAAGCAAUUCCAAACCCUCCUUGGGACAUCUACUUCCAUUCCUUCCACUGGGUUCUGUCUGAGAGCCUGCAACCGGCAUCUCGUGCAGAUUUCAAAAUCGAAAUUCAGCAUUAUCGUAAUUACACAGAAAUAGCAUCAUAAUAUAUUGUCGUGGUUUGUUCUGUCUCAUUUGUAUUGCCAAAAAUUUUUUUUUUGUGGCCCAAGUCCCACUGAAUAGACAUCCUUACUGC